AGCACCUGGGGGAGAGGUCAGCACCGAUCAGGCCCGGCUCCGCCCCCCAGGGCCCCGGCCACCGUGCAGCCGGGCACUGCAGGUUGGCGCCUCCGGGCAGGGACAGAACCUGCCCCGGCCCCCACCCCGAGGGGUCGGGGUGACCCGGAUGAGAGCCGCCCCGCCCCUUGCACAGGCGCCCGGGCGGGCGGAGGGGCGGUGACGGGGCGGGGCGCCGCGAUGCCCACCCCCGCCGGCCUGUCCGCGCCUUAUUAGGCCUGCGAGGCCGCAGGGGCGGAGCGGACCCCCGCCCUCUGGGUGUCAGCCCUCGGGGUGGGGGGGUCAUGUGUUGCGGCAGGCGAGGAGACAGCGGGAGCGCGGAUUUCCGAGACCCUAAAAACGAUGUGGAUGCCAGGCCAGGGGCCAUGCUGGGUUGAUUUCACCUCUGAGAUCAUCUGUGAGUCGAAGCUGCAGUCCGAAGUUGCACGGAUGGUGUCCUGAGCCUUGGAACGGAGAUCGCGCCUGUCUGCGGUUCAGUUUUCCCAAGGAGGUGGGCUUUUCCCCAUCUCCCACGGGCGCCCUCCUCCACCCGUCACCCCAGCGCUCCUCUGGACCUGUGCCAGAUUCUGCAAGUUCCCCUACAAAAGCAGCUUCUUCAAGUGGUGCUUCCUCCCCUGCCUGCAGCAGAAUAAACUGUUUUCUGAGGUC